AGCAUGUGUAGUAUACUAGUAUAUGGACUGCUCGCACGCGCUGCCACGGACUGCUCCGCCCAGCACCCCGACACCCCGCGUGUCGCCUGCGUGCCACACCGUCGCCACCUCUCCCACACGUUGAUGAAGAGGUCUGUCUCUCUUUCCGCCCCUGCUCACCGUCCUGUGCGGCAAUGGACGCGACUACUUGAGGGAACGAAGCCCGUCCUCCCAGCACCGGUAGUCUCCCUGCACCCUGCAAAAAAUUAAAUAAAUCGUAAGUUCAGAAUCAAGAAACCAUGAAGUUCAAAGACAACAAAGGUACAACAAUGUUGAUGGCGAUUGAAGAAGGAUCCCGGAAAUAUUAUUAUUGGGACCGUAGGCCAAGUUUUAUGCAUGGUGUGAGAGGAUUCCAGGAAUUGUUCUGAAGCGGUCGAUGGCUUUCGAGAGAUGCGAUCAUAUCUCACAAGUUUCCAAGGGGUUCAACAUCAUUUAUAUACGAAGGAAAUGUCAAAGGUUCAGAUGGCAACACACUUAAAAAUACUGGUGAAAAAUCUGAACAUGUAUAGUGCAAUCAUGGGAAAAAGCUUGAAUUUUUAUCGCUUGACCUGUGCUGAUCUCUCCUAUAGUUUUUGUUAUGCGUUCUUCAUUGAGUGGUACAACUGAACAUAUCCAUGGGAGAUCCAUGCUAUGGUACAGAUUUGUGAAAUUACUUUGUACUCA